UCGUAUUAAUUUGUGCUCUUAAUUUUCCAUUUGAUUGCAAUAUAAGAAAAUGAGUAUUACAUGACAUUUGUCCUCAUUUGUUCUGCCUGGAUCGACCAAAAUAAUUUACUUGGUCUCAGUUUUCACCCGUGGAAUACUCUUGGCUUCUUUCUUGUCUAACCAUGACCAUAAAUGAGAAACAAUGGAGGCCAAGGCAGCCAACGAAAUAGUUCAAGCCUUACCAAACAAAAAAACUAACCUUAGUAAACUAAGUCCUCAAGCAAAUAACACAGAUUAAAAUGGCUUCAAAUUAAAUUUUCUCAAGUUUUGUCGGUAACCCGGCAAGCACCGGAAUUAAUUGUUCCGGCGAGGCCAACGCCGCAUGAAUUAAAGCAACUUUCAGAUAUGGAUGAUCAAGAAAGUCUAAGGUUUCAGAUUCCAGGAAUAUUAUUUUACAAGAACAACCCUUCAUCAUCACCUACUGUCCAAAAAGAAAAGAUCCCGUGAAGGUCAUCAAGGAAACUUUAAGUAAAGCACUUGUAUAUUAUUAUCCUUUUUCAUAUACGCUUGUAAAAGGCCCCAACCGCAAGCUUAUGGUGGAUUGCAAGUGAAGGGAUCUUGUUGCUUAAGGCUGAAGCUAACUUCAAACUUGAGCAGCUUGGCGAUGCUGUUCAGCCACCAUACCCAUAUUUGGAACAACUGCUCUGUAAUGUUCCAGGUUCCCAAGGCAUUCUUGGUUGCCCAUUGCUCUUAAUUCAAGUGAGUUUAUCUAUUACUUGUAAGCAAGUGACUUUACUUUCGCAUGCAUACUCAGAUUAUAUAGUUUCUAAAUUCUUUUAACUAAACAUAAAUGUCUAUUUAGUUCCUAGAGUUUUGAGUUAAUUGCAGAAGUAAUUCUUAUAUUUUAAAAAUUUGUCCAAAACAUCCAUGUUAUAAAUAUGUUUCCAUUGCAAUACCUACUUAAUUAUUCUCUACUAUUCUUCUAUUACAUAAUAGUUUUGUUUGAAUUUUAUCAGUAAAAAGUUAGAUCCAACAAUUAUAAAAGUAGCAACAAGGAGCCCACAAAGACUUGGUCAAAUAUUUUUCUUUAGUUACUCACCUGAGCUUAAAUCUUGAGAGAGAUACAAGCUAAAAAGUCAAUUUGAGUUUUGCCCAUUCUCCAACUUCUGAAAAAUAAUAACAAUAAUGGAAAUGAUAUUUUGCGUAAUUUUUCAAAACAUGAAAAGCAACUGAGUAAUUGGCCCCGGACUUAAAAUAAUUUAUCUUUUUAACUAAUCAUUACUUUAAUCAUAAUAUUACUCUUAAUUAAUUAUCUAAUGAUUUUCUUCCUAUGAGUGUAUAAGGUAACUCGAUGUGGGGGAUUCAUUCUUGCAUUACGUUUUAACCACACAAUGUGUGAUGCAAUUGGUUUGGUACAGUUCUUAAAAACCAUAGAGGAGAUGGCACGAGGUUAAGAUAAACCUUCCCUACUCCCUGUUUGGCAACGGGAAUACUUAUGUGCGACAAUUCCACCACAAGUAACAUGUGACGCCCAAAAUGAAUAUGAGCAAAUAAACUCCAUCCCGAGUGCCUUCACAGCUGCCAACUCAAAUGACAUGGACCACAAAUCAUUGUACUUUGGUCUAAUGAGAUAGAUAAAAAAAUAUAGAUUUUAAUAUAUUAACAGAUAAAAAAAUAAUUUUUAAUCUAUUAAAAUUUAUUUUUUAAAUUUUAAUAUGUAUCUAAAGUGAGGAUAAAGUAAAGAUGCUCUACUAGUAAGGGAUUAUAUAUAUUAAAUAUGAAAAUCAGUUCGAGCCAUCAUAAAAUUCUUUUCCUUUAUUACAAAAAACAUAUGGGACAGUAUAGAUCUUUCUCCAAUUACUAGUGAAAACAUAUUUCUAGGCUAUGUUUAACAAACCUCUAAAUUCUGAUACAAAUUAUUCUCAAUAGAUCUCAAAUUGUAAACAUAUCAAUAUGCUUUACUAUGUAUUGAACAUGAUGACGAGUACGUUUCUUGUGAAAUUAGGACGCUAUUGAAUAUGUUGUGAUAAGGUGGUGUACUGUAAAUUAGGAGGCAAAUUCUCCUUCCAAUAAUUCUUGCAACACUCGGCUAAUUGAGCUUGUUCCCCUAAAUAAAUGGAAGUCCUUUCGUGUAUACUUGCACCACCGAAUGAGUUAUUUUAACUUCAAUAAUAUUAGGCAGCAACCCGCUUCUGGUUUAUAUCAUUUGCAGACUUAUUUUUUAACUUUUUUAAGAUGAGGAUUAAUCUAUCUGAACCCGUUCACUGAGUAUUUCAAAUUGUUAUUUUGUACUAGUAGAUAGUUGUCGAUGGAAUAAUAUAUUUAUAGUGCAACUUGGAAAUUCAACGUAGAAUAGCUCAAAAUUCUACUUUCUCUAGCUAAUAUUGGGGAGAUAUGUCCAUAUCUAUUCUACACUCUAUGGAAAGCAAAUAAAGAAUUCCCUUGGAAGCUCGAACUGAUUAGUCCACCAUUAAGCUAUUGUUCAUAGGUUUAGGUGGAAACCAGUGAGAAGUGAAAAUAAAAGUACUUAUCAUGCCAUGAAUUUGUAGUGAAGAAAUAAUCCUUUAGUUUUAUUUUGUUUUGCAAUAAUAACUCUUUCGAUUUUUUUUAAUAUUUUAUUUAGGAAAUAAACCCUUUAGAUUACUAAGCUGUAGCAAUAUUUAGGGAAAAAAGAGAGAAAGAGAAGGAGAGAGUGCAAAAACCACACAUUAAAAUCCUCAUCUAUUUUACAUUUCCAUAUUGAGCAUCACAUCAAGAGUGGGUACACUUUCACUGAAUCGUGGUCUCUAAUGCAUAGGCGGUUGGAAAUUAAUUUUAUUACAAUCGGAUUCUUCUUAUUUUUGGAUAGGAAUGGAUUCAUGAACAUACAUUGUACAUACAACAUAAUGGUCAAUUUACACAUUUUCAACGUUUAGUAAUAUGAUUAGAAAGUUCCCCUGAUUUUAAAUUAUUAAAUUUUAUAUUUAUUGAAAGUGAUAGAGGCACUCGUAUUAACUUGCGCUCUUAAUUUUCCAUUUGAUUGCAAUAUAAGAAAAUGAGUAUCACAUGACAUUUGUCCUCAUUUGUUCUGUCUGGAUCGACCAAAUAAUUUACUUGGUCUCAGUUUUCACCCGUGGAAUACUCUUGCUUCUUUCUUGUCUAACCAUGACCAUAAAUGAGAAACAAUGGAGGCCAAGGCAGCCAACGAAAUAGUUCAAGCCUCACCAAACAAAAAAAAAAAAAACUAAGUCCUCAAGCAAAUAACACAGAUUAAAAUGGCUUCAAAUUAAAUUUUCUCAAAUUUUGUCGGUAACCCGGCAAGCACUGGAAUUAAUUGUUCCGGCAAGGCCAACGCCGCGUGAAUUAAAGCCACUUUCGGAUAUGGAUGAUCAAGAAAGUCUUAAGGUUUCAGGUUCCAGGAAUAUUAUUUUACAAGAACAACCCUUCAUCAUCACCUACUGUCCAAAAAGAAAAGAUCCCGUGGAGGUCAUCAAGGAAGCUUUAAGUAAAGCACUUGUAUAUUAUUAUCCUUUUUCAUGUACGCUUGUAAAAGGCCCC
rnacentral:lncRNA from 1 species